rnacentral:rRNA from 1 species
ACAAUGCGGGAAACCGCGAUAAGGGGACACUGAGUGCCAGCAUAUUAUGUUGGCUGUCCACAUGNNNAAAAAGCAUGUGUUAGCAAGGGCUGGGCAAGACCGGUGCCAGCCGCCGCGGUAACACCGGCAGCCCGAGUGGUGAUCACUAUUAUUGGGUCUAAAGGGUCCGUAGCCGGUUUGAUCAGUCUUUUGGGAAAUCUGACAGCUUAACUGUUAGGCUUCCANNNGAUACUGUCAGACUUGGGACCGGGAGAGGUAAGAGGUACUACAGGGGUAGGAGUGAAAUCUUGUAAUCCCUGUGGGACCACCAGUGGCGAAGGCGUCUUACCAGAACGGGUCCGACGGUGAGGGACGAAAGCUGGGGGCACGAACCGGAUUAGAUACCCGGGUAGUCCCAGCCGUAAACGAUGCUCGCUAGGUGUCAGGAA